rnacentral:misc_RNA from 1 species
CUCUCUCUCUCUCUCUUUCUCACACACGCACAUACACACUCACACCAAAGGAGUCACAACAGUUCACAAGAAGAAUGGACUGGUAACUCCAAAAGCCAAAACCAAAACCUACACUGUACUCAAUUUACAGAGUAUGUGCAGCAGAUAAGUUAGCAUUUUUGCAAAUUCAUAAACUCAUUAAAACUCUGAGAUUGCUGAUGGAAACUAGAGAAAGCACAGAAGUCACAGUAAGAAAAACAAAUCUUACACCCAAAGCUAUUAUAUACCAAAAGUUCGGUAGCAAAGCAUGCUAUAAAGUGGAGGAAGUGCAGGAGUCUACUCAGAAUGGAUGCCCAGGCUUGGCAAUCCCACAGAAGGGUCCCUCACUUUAUCGUUGCAGCUUAGAACUUCCUGAACUUUUUGUUGUGUCAGACGUCUUUAAAAAGAAGAAGGAUGCUGAGCAAUGUGCUGCAGAGAAGGCUUUGAAAGAGUUAGGCAUCAAUCCUGCAGCUGAUUAUCCGACUGAGCAGGAACCAUGGGAUGCUUUAAUUGAACGAAUGACAUAUCUAUUCUCUGAUGAGUUUCUUCAAUCUGUUCACCCAUUCAGUGGUCACCUUAGGGCCACUUUGCAGAGAGAAGGUGACCUCUGUGGUUCAGUACCAGCUUCUGUUGUUGCUGUCUGUGAUGCAAAAUUAAGUAAUUUAUGUAAAAUACUUAAUCCUAAGGUGGAAGCAAAUCCUUUCUUGGCUUUGUCAUUUGUCAUGAGGACAGCUGCACAAUUGUCUGGGUCUGUUGUUACCACCAAGGGGAACCUUUCAAUCCAGAAAAAAAAUCCAUACCCUUCAGAGAUCAUAGAGUUAAUAGACAUCCAAAAGUCUGAUUCCCUACAAAACACAAUGGUUGAAGCUGUACAUAUUCCAUUUUCUCUGGAUAAGACUGUUCAACCUGUCCGUCUUAAUAUUUUGUCAGAUGGAUAUUACCUGGAUGCUAUUGCACAAAAACUUGGUGUGACGGAUGCCAACAAGGUUCUGCUCUCAAGGGCUAUUGGUAAAGCUUCGUCUGAGACAAGGUUACACUUUGCUGCUCCUGAAUCAGCUAUGUUAGAUGUGUCAGCAGAUCUUGUAAAUUUGGAAGGACCUUUGAAUGUAAGGGCAAGUUACUUCUGUGGUCAAAGUAUAUAUGGUGAUGCAAUUAUGGCGUCGAUUGGUUACACAUGGAGGUCUAAAGAUCUUUUCCAUGAAGAUAUAUCCCUGCAAUCAUAUUACAGGAUGCUUAUAAGCAAGAUGCCAAGUGGAAAUUACAAGUUGUCCAGAGAAGCAAUACUUGCAGCGGAAUUGCCUUCAGUAUUCACCACAAAAUCAAAUUGGAGGGGUUCCUUCCCAAGGGAAAUCCUAUGCUCAUUCUGCCGGCAGCAUCGGCUAUCUGAACCUGUUUUCUCCACUAUAAAUCUACCUUUAAAAGAUCAGUCCUCGUCAAGAUCACACAAGGAGAUGAGUGUCACAGAGGGAGUUGAACAGGAGACAGAAUAUGCUAAUGGAAGAGGUAUUGCUACUGGUGAUCAAGAGUCAGUGGAAUCUGCAAGCAUGUUUAGAUGCAAGGUGAAAAUAUUUUCCAAGUGUCAGGAUUUGAUCAUAGAGUGUUCACCUGAGCAGAUUUAUAAGAAGUCAAAUGAUGCGAUCCAUAAUGCUUCUCUGAAAGUUCUUUCAUGGUUGAAUGAAUAUUUUAAGGACCUUAGCAUGCCUGUGGAAAAGCUAAAUUAUUUGGCUGAUGUCCUUCACAUCCAAUUUUAUCCUGAAAACUUCUUUAAAGCGUUUUUGUUGUGUUCUUCUGUUCAUAGUCUUCAGCACAGGGGGAAAGGGAGAAAAUUACCAGAAAUUAGAAGUGUGAAUGUGCCACAUACUUCACCAGAUGUUUGCUCUUUGAACAUAGAGGGUUUAGAUUCUGGUGUCUGUCCAUCAACUGAAUCAUUAUUAUGCAUAAGUUAUUCUGUAUCUCUGGUGACAGAAGGUAAACAUGUGAAACAGCUUCUCGAGAGCAAUGAUGAGUUUGAGUUUGAGAUGGGGUCAGGGGCAGUGAUUUCCCCUCUUGAAUCAGUUCUCACACAGAUGUCAGUCGGUCAGUCUGCUUUUUUCAGUAUGAACUUGCCUCCUUGUGAGUAUAUUUUAGCAUCAACUGAUGAUUCUGAGGGGAUUAUUUCGUUGUUAACGUCAGAAACUUGCUGCUUGGACUAUACUGUAACCUUGUUGUGUGUGACUGAACCCCCAGAAGAAAGAAUGGAGCAAGCUCUUUUUAGCCCUCCACUUUCAAAACAAAGGGUGGAAUAUGCUGUGCAACACAUCAAACAAUCUUGUGCUACUACUUUGGUUGACUUUGGCUGUGGCUCUGGAAGUUUAUUGGAUUCUUUAUUAGAUUACCCGACUUCUUUGGAAAAAAUUGUUGGUGUUGACAUAUCACAAAAGAGUCUUAGCCGUGCAGCAAAGAUACUUCAUUCAAAACUAAGCACAAAAUCAGAUACAAGCAUCAAAUCUGCUGUUCUUUAUGAUGGUUCAAUCACAGAUUUUGACUUUCGAUUAUGUGGAUUUGAUAUAGGCACUUGCUUAGAGGUAAUUGAGCAUAUGGAGGAGGACCAGGCCUGUAUGUUUGGUGAUAUUGCAUUAAAUUAUUUUCGUCCAAAGAUUCUUAUUGUUUCCACUCCAAACUAUGAAUAUAAUGUGAUUCUCCAAAGAUCAAGUCUCACAAACCCAGAAGAAGAUCCAGAUGAGAAAACUGAAUCACAGUCUUGCAGAUUUCGCAAUCAUGACCACAAGUUUGAGUGGACUAGAGAGCAGUUCAAUAAAUGGGCAACUGAAUUAGCCAAUAGGCACAAUUAUAGUGUUGAGUUCAGUGGGGUCGGUGGUUCUGCUGAUGCAGAACCAGGGUUUGCUUCUCAGAUUGCUGUCUUUAUGAGGAAGAUCCUACCUCAGGAAGAUGAUGUUUCAGAGAACGAAAAUUCUGCACAAAAUUGCAAAGUUGUAUGGGAGUGGAACAGUGUAGAUAGAUCAGAUUCUUCUCUUUGACACAUAUCUAACUUUAGCCGGAGUUAUAAUUGAGUUUAUUGCAGCAAUAGGCUGUAAUUAUAUGUCAAAAAAUUUUGAAAUAGAGGGAGCAAAAGAAUGAAGAAUGAACAUACCAUCCAUGUCCAUGUAGAGACAAAUGGAUUUUGCAGACGAUAUGGAACCAAAUGAGCCCUUUGAGGCAUUUUCAAUAUUCAAACUUUUGACCAUACUAAGUUAAUGUAUUUGAUUUCAGCUUCGUCUGACAUUGAGUUUUGGAAGCUGA